CCUACGGGAGGCAGCAGUGAGGAAUAUUGGUCAAUGGCCGGGAGGCUGAACCAGCCAAGUCGCGUGAGGGCAGACGGCCCUACGGGUUGUAAACCUCUUUUGUCAGGGAGCAAGGUGGAGGUCGGGACCUGCUGUGAGAGUACCUUACGAAAAAGCAUCGGCUAACUCCGGUCCAGCAGCCGCGGUAAUACGGAGGAUGCGAGCGUUAUCCGGAUUUAUUGGGUUUAAAGGGUGCCCAGGGGGAGGCACAAUUCAGCGGUAAAAUCGCGGGGCUCAACCCCGCUCCGCCGUUGAAACUGUUUGCCUUGAGUGCGCGAAGGGUAGGCGGAAUGCGUGGUGUAGCGGUGAAAUGCAUAGAUAUCACGCAGAACUCCGAUGGCGAAGGCAGCCUACCGGCGCGCAACUGACGCUCAUGCACGAAAGCGUGGGUAUCGAACAGGAUUAGAUACCCGAGUAGUC
rnacentral:rRNA from 1 species